GCCAGAUGCAGCCUGCAGAACAGCUCUGUCUGGGCCACAGGUUUCCAGGCUGGCUUGAACGCGGUCUUGUGAAUGCACCGGUGCACGGGGCUUCGGGGAACCAGCUGAAGUGCCUCUGUGAAAUGUUCCCCAACACUCCUGGAUCUGCAGAGACCUUGGGACUUUAUGCACUUUGGACAUAGACUGGCCAUGGGGUUACAGAGUUUUUCUUUUGUUCUGUCUCACCUGUGUGCUAAUACCCUUGAGACUGAGGAAAGCACGCAUCAGAUGAACGGCGUGGCAUUCUGCCCGGCUUUUCGCUGGUCACAAGCCAUUUUGUGUAUGGAAAGACGGAAGUACUGCCUGUUCUCCAAACCUAGAGUCUCUCCUGCCAUUCCAGGAAGUCUCAGGCAAGCUGUGUAUUUUGGAAACAACAGCAGAUUUCCAGGAAUAUUCUACUAUACAUGACCGGCGAGGAUAGGGGUUGGGUGAGCAGGACUGCUGUCCUGCCUGCGUCCCGCUACGUCCUUAGCACGAUGCUUCCAACUUUGUCCUCCCUGAACUUGCCCAUGCGCUGGCCAUCCCGGGCAUCCGCUCGUAGCAUGACUUACUCUCCUGGACCUGGACACAGCCCUGCGCUCCCAAUACGCCUCUUCCUCUGUGCGUGUCCUUAUCGCAACGUAUCUGUGCAAAUGCUUAGUUGCUGUGUGGCCAUAAUUGUAUUCUCAGUUUCUCUCUUUAAGUUGUCUUUGACAAGUCAUUUAUAUUUUGCCUGCUUUCAUGAGCUUUUACAGUAAAAGAAAGUUGGCAGGCAAUUCUCUACUAUCCUACAUGUCUCUUGUCUGUCUGAUGAUUGAUUUCCAGUGGGAGUAAGUUUUGAUGUUUGAAAAGAUCCAGACUAUUAUUAUUGAACAUUUGAGUUGUGUAAUGGAGGUAUCUGUCUGACAAAUCCAGAAGGAUGUCUAAGUAAAAGGUUCAAAGGCUUAAGGAAAUUCUGGAUCAUGUAUAAAACAUUGCCCAGCGCCUUGUCUGUAACAUCAGAUGGAGAAUGGAGACAAGCCACAACACCUGAAGAGUACAGCCAGGUCAAGGAAGAAAGGGGUGCGAAAUGGAAUAUUUCAAAAAAGUCACGAGAAAUAUUCUGUUCUGUGAAGACUGAAAGACAUGACAGGCAAUGAGAUGAAAAGGAUCGAGCCUGACCUAUAAAUCCAGGCAAAAUCCCCACUGACAGAGAGGAAACAUGACAGCAGUGAUCUGCAGCUGAGGUCAAGAGUGGGCAGGCAGAAUUGCGUGAAUACUGCCGAAAAGGAGAACACAAAAACCCAAACAACAGAAGAGCCUGGGAACUUGUUUCAGGUGUAUAUUAGCAGCUUGCUUUGUAUUCAGCCCGGGCUAAAACUGAG